UGUGAUCCUGGGUGUGUCAGCACGCCUGGGAGUGGAGCUUUCUCUGGGUGUAGUGGGACUGGCUGCAGAGCUUGCGCCCAAGGUCUGCUCCCAAGUAAACUAGAAAAAAUGGAAGGUCUGGCAGAAUAUCACGAGUUCGAGGACAACCAGGGCCACACGGAGAAACCCUGUCUUUAAGCAAUUUUCUGCAAUGAACAUUUUACAGUAAAAAUAUUCAUUUACAAGGACCUUAUUAAAGAAACAAAAGAAGAAAAGAUGAUGAUGAUAACGAUGAUGAGGACAACGACGACAGGCAGAAUAUAAGGUGUAAAACAGCAGAAGAGAGCUUGUCCCUGCACAGAGUGGUAGACUCCUGGAGCUCCACCUGAUGUUUGGCUGUGGGUCUCCACAUCUUUCCUCCAUGAACUGCUGGAUGAAGCUUCUGAGGAAACGGUGAUGCUACAUUCCUGUCUGCAAAGAUAGCAGAGUUUCAAUAAUAGUCACAAGAGUUGGUUCUCUCACAUGGGAUGGGUCUCAAGUUGCAGCAGUCAUUAGAUGGCUGUUCUCUCAAUCUCUGCUCCAUUUUUACCCCUAAAUGUCUUAUAGGCAAGACAAAUUUUGGAUUGAAGGUUUGGGAUUGAGGUCACCCUCCCUCCUCUGGAAGCCCUUCCUAGCUAGAGAAGGUGGCCACUUCAGUCCUACUCUGGUAGAAAUUUCAGCUUGGGUCACCCCCAUAGACUUCCUGUACCCUCCCUUUCUCAGACCUCCAGCUAGUCACCAGAGAUACUCCCCAACUGAUUUCCAUUCUCAUGCCCAGCUCUCUCCCACCCCUCUUCUCCCUGAGCUUAAUCACCAUCCCCAUUCCAUUCCCUCAACUCAUUUCCUACCAAAUUUCCUCUCCCCAUUCACCUCUAAUAAUUAUUUAGUUUCCCCUUCUUAGUAAGAGUCACACGUCCUCUUUUGGGCUCUCCUAAUUACCCAGUUUAUUUGGGUCCGUGGAUUGUAGCAUGGUUAUCCUGCAUAUUAUGGUUAAUGUCUACAUAAAAGUGAGUACAUUCCAUAGAUGUCUUUCUGGCUCUGGGUCUACUAACUGAGGAUGAUAUU